rnacentral:rRNA from 1 species
CGCACAGUAAACGAUGACAACUGGCUGUCGGCGAUAUACCGAUCGGUAGCGAAGCGAAAGCGUUAAGUUGUCCACCUGGGGAGUACGACCGCAAGGUUGAAACUCAAAGGAAUUGACGGGGGCCCGCACAAGCGGAGGAACAUGUGGUUUAAUUCGAUGAUACGCGAGGAACCUUACCCGGGCUCGAACGGUGCAGGAAUACAGGAGAGAUUCUGUAGCAUAGCAAUAUGUCUGCAUCGAGGUGC